rnacentral:lncRNA from 1 species
UGACCAACCAUCAAGCGCCUAGGCAAGCCUUAAACAACCUUAGGUGAGACUUUUUAGAACACUGGGUUUUAGGUCAAAGCAGAACAUUAUUCAGCUUCAGGGAAUGCCGAAUGCUUUUUCCAACAAGCUCAUGGGAUUCAGCUCCAGGUUUUAGGUUAGAGCCAUUUAUAUUUGUAGAAAAAAUUAGGGUUAAGUACAUAUAACUAUUCAACCUUUUGGGCUGAUUUCAAAUUAGUCUCAACCUUGUAAAACAUUUCAAAUAACUACCAAACAUUUUAAAACUUAGAGAUUCAUUAGGUCACUUGUGUUAACUGAUGACUUUACAACAUUAAGUGAUGAUGUUUCUAGCAUUAAAUGAUGAGGUGGACACAUACUAAAGUUGGUCUCUACUAAUCGUCACUUUUUUUAGCUCUAAUUUCCCAAAUCGACUUCUUUCAGCCAAUUUAAGACAUAAUUUUUUUUUAGCUAAACUGCUUCAAUUUCAAAAUCCAAAGCUCUAUAAACGACUUAGGAGUAAAAACCCACUUUAAAAGUUGUCGACAUCAUCACUAAAUGACAAUGAACUUAACAUAUGUCCACUUUUCAAAAUGUUAGGUAAUUAUUUAGAAAUUUUUUAAAGAUUAAGACUAAUUUGAAAUCACCCCUAAAAGUUGAAUAGUAAUCUGAAUUUAACCCAAAAACUUAUGUCCACAUUAUUUAUGACAUUCCGUCUGUAUAUACUAUAUAUUGCCAAAUGCUCCAUGCUAUUGUAACAAAAUAAUCUCACAUAUAUUCCACCAAUGUUAUUGAAGAGCGGAAGCAAGUAUUGGGCUGUAGCAAAUAAAGGCUUUUGGACCAAAAAAAAUUGUAUUAAUUUUUGUUAAUUAUCUAGCCCAAAGUUGCUUUUGUAUUAAGUUCUGUUAUUUAUCUAGCCCACAGUUGCUCAAAAGAAAAUUUAGAAAUUUGAUUUAAGUUAAUAAAUGGGUUUACAUAUCGACAAAGGUCAAUAUUCAUUUCAUUUCAAUUGAAACAAUUCUAUUCUUAAAUUUUGUUUAAUACAUUCGAUACACUAAACUUCAAAAUGAGCUGGCUAUAAUAAUUUGGUUCGAAUUUGCUUUUGGUGAAAAUCAAAUCUAAGACCUCUAACUAACAAGUUAAGAGGAAUAUCAAUAUACCAUAGUACAAAGUUAAAAUUCUACUCUUAAGCUUAAAGUCAAUAAAAACUAUUUUCCUCAACAACUAAAGUCAAUACCACUUAAUAGAUUUUCUCUUUAUUGACCUCUCCGUAAAGCACAAAAUAUUGAUUGACUCAAUUCUAAUCAUAAAAUAUUUUGUGACUUAAACAAAUUGCCCCAAAAAAACUUAAAAACUCUAUACUGUUUGCUUUUUUAUAUAAGCAAUGUUCUACGCUAAUUCUUAAUAAUGUGAAAUUUUCUCCUAUACUAAAAUUAUGAGCAAAUUAAAUUGAAGGCCCAUUACAACCAGCAAGUCUGAUCCAGUUACAAACCAGGCACAUGAAGCAUAGCAUUGUCCAAGCUGUCUGUUACCACUAUAUCAAUUCAACUGUGGAAAGGCAAAGCCCAAACAAGAACACAAAUGUUCCAAAAAGAAAAAGUAGCAAGCAAAAAACAAUGAGGAUGCCUAUCUCAAGUAAAACAACUUUUGUACCCUUGCACUUCUUAUGUAAAAAUAUAUGACAAUUUGAGAAAUUUCUUCAGUAAUGUGGCAUUGAAUAAUAGACGAAUGAGUGGCCGGGAUCAAAAAUAUAAGAUCUAAACAUUUGUGAAAAUCAAAUCUAACGGCUAAAACAUAUGUAGCAUUGGAGCCACAUUCGACCAUUUGAUAGAAAAAGAAUUGUGUACUAAAAAAGAUUUCUCUAGUCACUAGGUGAUGAAAAAAAU